UUGGGUGUGUAAGCGCUGUGAGGCGUUGAGCUAACCAAUACUAAUUGCCCGUGAGGCUUGACCAUAUAACACCCAAGCAAUU
rnacentral:rRNA from 2 species